UGCGGAGCCGUCUUACGGCGUUCUCGUUACGCCCAUUUCCGCUGUCUCGGCAUGUAAUGAAAUUUAUUGUCAGUUACCAAGUGCUAGGACCGGCCAGUCUCCCCUGUCGAGCCGCGUUCGUCUCAGCCGGCCUCUGCGCC
rnacentral:sRNA from 2 species